UACGGAGGAUCCGAGCGUUAUCCGGAUUUAUUGGGUUUAAAGGGUGCGUAGGUGGAUUGGUAAGUCAGUGGUGAAAGUUUGCAACUUAACUGUAAAAUUGCCGUUGAAACUGCCGGUCUUGAGUGCAAAUGAGGUAGGCGGAAUGCGUCGUGUAGCGGUGAAAUGCUUAGAUAUGACGCAGAACUCCGAUUGCGAAGGCAGCUUACUGGGAUGCAACUGACGCUGAGGCACGAAAGCGUGGGUAUCAAACAGGAUUAGAUACCCU
rnacentral:rRNA from 1 species